UACGUAGGGUGCGAGCGUUGUCCGGAAUUAUUGGGCGUAAAGAGCUCGUAGGCGGUGUGUCACGUCGGCCGUGAAAACCUGCAGCUUAACUGUGGGCGUGCGGUCGAUACGGGCAUCACUGGAGUUCGGCAGGGGAGACUGGAAUUCCUGGUGUAGCGGUGAAAUGCGCAGAUAUCAGGAGGAACACCGGUGGCGAAGGCGGGUCUCUGGGCCGAUACUGACGCUGAUGCGCGAAAGCUAGGGUAGCAAACAGG
rnacentral:rRNA from 1 species